GUCGGAAUGGAGGUUCUUCUCUGGCGUCCAGGCGGCCUGGUGGUCCUGAGAAGCCCGGGCUCGCCGGGCCCUGCCCCGAGGCCGCCGGCCGCUGCCCGGGCUGCCCCCGCGUCACGGAUGGGGACGUCUUCAGAGAGGCCCGGAACGGCCGUCGUGGGGCUGGUUUUCUUCCGUUCUGGUGCCUGUUUCGGGUCGUUUGUGCCGUGUGUCAGGGAGACGGUUCACGUGUGUCAUUUGUGAAACUUGAUCAUAAAAGCUGUGUCGUUGUUGCCGUGUCCAGCCGUAGCAGAGUCGGGCGGCGGGAUGGGGUGAGCACUGGGCGGGCGGUCCAUGAGGAAUGUCACCAGCGGGCCGGCUGCGGAGCUACCUCUUGUAACUCCAAACGAGGUUUUCUUUGUCUUUUUUUAUAAAGAAAAAAUUACUUUUUUUUUUUUUGAGACGGAGUCCCUGUCGCCCAGGCUGGAGUGCAGUGGUGUGAUCUUGGCUCACUGCAGCCUCCACCUCCCAGGAGAAUCAAGCGACUCUCAUGCCUCAGCCUCCCCAGUAGCUGGGACUACAGGCACCAGCCCGGCAAAUGUUUUUGUACUUAGUAAGGCGGGGCUUCGAACUCCUGACCUCAAGUGACCCGCCUGCCUCGGGCUCGCAAAGCGCUGAGAUUACAGGAGAGAACCGCUGCGCCAGAUCUGAAGCCACUUUUUUUUUUCCAUAGCUUCGGCACAACCUGCAGCACCUCCAGGCCUGAUCUUGCCCUGUGGCUUCGCUCACCAGUCAGAGCUCCCCAAGCCCUUAUUAGUGCCAAUGAACUUUCUCAAAGAGGAAUAAGUUAACAUUUCUCUUUUUAAAAUAAAACCUCUAACCUCUUUGUUCUUCUGAGAGGGCACUUUGGGUUCAUGCUAGAGACUCUCCCUGGCUUGCAAACUGAUAUUGACAGUAGGACUCUUGUCUACUGUCUAGCCAUCCUGUUGUUCCUUUGAAUGACAAAUUUAAAACAAAUCACAGCCGACCGCUGUAGUUCACGCUUGUAAUCCCAGCACUUUGGGAGCCUGAGGCCGGCGGAUCACCUGUGGUCAGGAGUUAGAGACCAGUCUGGCCAACAGGGGGAAACCCCGUCUUUAUUAAAAAUAGAAACGUUUAGCUAGACAUAGUGGCGCGCCAGCAAUCGCAGCUGCUCAGGAGACUGAGGCUGAGGCAGGAGAAUCGGUUGAGGUUGCAGUGAGCCGAGAUUGCGCCACUUCAGCCUGGGUGACAGAGUGAGACUCCAUCUCAAAAAACUCCAAAAAACAAAAACACCACCAACAGAAAAAAAAAUCAUGCAGAUGUUGUGGUGUCUCUCAUAUGGGCUGUGGCAUGGUGAGAACUGCAGUCUGAGGAGCCUGCUGGCCUUGGGAUAAAAAUGGGUUCCAUGUUUGGUUUCCUCUGGGGCAGAGCACCAUAAGGUGCUUUGAUAAUAUGCACCCACAGUGUAAAUAUUAGAAUCACAAGUGCAGCUGACUGCCAGAUUAAGUUUUUUUUUUUUUUUUUUUAAAUAGAGACGAGGUCUUGCUAUGUUGCCCAGGCUGGUGUGCAGUGGCUAUUCACAGGUGCGAUCCCACUACUGAUCAGCACGGGAGUUUUGACCUGUGCCAUUUCUGACCUGGGCCGGUUCACCCCUCUUUAGGCAACCUAGUGGUCCCCCGCUCCCGGGAGGUCACCAUAUUGAUGCUGAACUUAGUGCAGACACCCCAUUGGCCUAGCGCACCACAGUCCAGAACCGGGUUCAAGCGAUCCACCUCAGCCUCCGGAGUAGCUGGGACUACUGGCAUGUGCCACCGUUCCCGGCCAGAUUAAGUUUAUUACAUAAUACAGAAUAUUUCCCAAUUAUAUAUGAAAUGCUUUAUUGUAAUAAGAAUUUCAGGUUGGUGGGGUGUUAGAGAUCAUCUUACUCUCUUUCAUUUUAUAAUUGAGUAAAGCAGAGGCAGAGAACAUAAGCGUCGUGGUUGAGGACUCAUAAAGAUGUGUUCAGGUUCAUCUGUGCCUUGUGUAAGUUAUCUCAAUAAACUUCAGUUUCCUCAUCUGUUAGAUAGGAUGAAGAAACAAAAUCCCCUGUACUUCAUUGGCACAAGGUACACACUGGAGAAAUCUGAGCCCUUAUUAAGGUCAGGUUAUUGACUUCUAAAAAAUUAAUUACCGUCAUUUUGUUAGUCAUACAGUUCAGAUACAAACACAGUUGCUUAACACAUCACAAGCAUUUUAUUCACAGAAGGGUUGUUCCAAGCUAAGGUAUAAGACUCAAAUGUUCCCUGAUCAUUUAUUGAAACUCAUUUUUUUAUUGUGUUAUUUAUAACAAUAUUUAUCACCUUAAUUUUUAAGGGCAUCAAGUACAUUCAUAUUACGCAACCAUCACCACUGUCCAUCUCCAGAUACAUCUUUAAUAAACAUUUUGGUUGAGAUCUAAUCCGUGUACUAUAAAAUUUGCCAAUCUGAGGUGAAGUGGUUUUUCAGUGUUGUGGAACCAAUACCACAAUCUAAUUUUAGAAGAAUGCUGUCACCCCAAAAAAACCCUAUACCCAUUAACAGUCAUUUCCCAUUUCCCUCCCAUUCCCUAGCCCCUGGCAACCACUAAUGUAUUUUCUGCCUCUAUAGAUUUGCCUAUUCUAAACAUUUCAUAUAGAUGAAAACACAAAAUACAGAGUCAUUUGUAACUGACCUUUUUCGUUUAACAUCAUGUUCUCAAGGUUCAUAUUAUAGCAGACAUCAGCAGCUAGUUAUUUUUAUUGCUAAUUAAUACUUCAUUACAUAAACAAAACAAAAAAAUUUAAAACUAUUCUAUUCUAUGGGUAUACUACAUUUUAUUAUCCAACAGUUGAUUGACAUUUGGGUUGUUCAUUUUUUGACUAUUAUGAGUAGUGCUGCUAUGAACAUUCAUGUACAAGCUUUUGUGUGGACUUAAGUUUUCUUUUUUUUUUUUUUAAAGACGGGGGUUUCACUAUGUUGGCUAGGCUGGUCUAGAACUCCUGACCUGGUGAUCUACCCGCCCCAGCCUCCCAAAGUGCUGGGAUUACAGGCGUGAGCCACCACACCCGGCCUGACUUAAGUUUUCCUGUGGUAACUUUAACAUUUUAAUGUACUGCCAAAUUGUUUUCCAAAGUGGCUACACCAUUUUACAUUCUCACCAGCAAUGUGUGAGGGUUUCAAUUUUUCCAUAUUCUUGCCCAUACUUGUUAUUCAUGUACCUCGUGAACCCCAAAAAUCUGAGGCCUCAAUUAAUUACAAAGUUUAUUUUUCCAAGGUUGAGGAUGUGCCCGUGACACAGCCUCAGGAAGCCCUGACGACAUUUGCCCAAGGUGGUCCGGGCACAGCCCGGUUUUAUACCUUUUAGGGAGACACGAGACACGAGUCAGUGUAUGUAAGAAGCAGCCUGGUGCAGUCUGGAGAGUCGGGACAACUUGAAGCAAGGGCAGGAAGACUCAAAGCAGGAAAGGGGCUUCUAGGUCACAGACAGGUGAGGGAUGAACAGUUGCAUUCUUGUGACUUCCUAAUCAGCCUUUCCAAAGGAGGCAAUCAGAUAUGCAUCUAUCUCAGUGAGCAGAGGGAUGACUGACUAGAAUGGGAGGCAGAUUUGCCAUGAGCAGUUCCUAGCUGGAAGGGACCCAAGAUCUUUUCUUUUCACAACCUUGUAUUAUGGUCAUCCUGGUAGGUAUAAAAUGAUAUUAUGGUUUUGAUUUGCAUUUUGCUAACGGUUAGUGAUUGUUCCUCAGUGGCCAGGCCAGUACAUAUCUGUCCCAAAGUCAGAGGAAGCUGAGAGGCCAAAGAAAGAGGCUGGCAAAUCUAGUUUCUUAGAGAGAAACAUUUAAUAGGGACUUAGGAACAGAAACCACAUCUGUGUCUCUGGCAGUGGUCAGACAAGAUGGUCGAUCCCCAGCCGUCACCCCUAGACCCUGGGCUUACAUGCCGUGAAAGGAAAAUAAAUCUUGCAACCCCAAACUCAUUAAGCCAAAGGGAGAAGUUAAGCUGGGAACUGGGUCAGGCAAACCCGCCUCCCGCUUUGGGUUCCUGAAUAAGAUGCCUACAAGAUGAAAACCUACAUGCCCCCCCCCCCUCCCCCAGCCAUAAAGCCCACAGGAAAUUGGUAGUGAGCCCUAAGAUUUUUUCCCUAAGGUGGUUCUGUUAAAAUUUCACCAUGGUAAUGUGAACUGAUAGCUUAUCUUUGCAGGUACAGUCACCCCACCACCACCAGAUGCAAAUGCAUAUUUGAUUGUUCCCUGCCCUGUUUUGUCUAUGUUAUCUUACAUAAUGCAGAUUCCUCUGCCCCAUUUGUCUAUGUCAUCUUAUGUGAAAUAAUAAUAAUGCAGAUUCACUGAGCCAGACAAAGGCAUGAAUGACUAUUUUUCCCUACCCGCGUCUUGAAAAAUGUGUACUUUUCAAUAUCCCACUCUUUCCCCUUUAAAUUUGAAGGCCUUCAAAAUCAUCUUUGGAGAAAGGCAUAGACCUGCCUCCGAAGCACAAGUCCUCACCUUUGGCAAAUAAGCUUCCUAAAAUGACUGAGUCUGGUCUCAUCAUUCUUCUCGAUUGAUAGCUGGUAACCACUAAGGGCACCUGAGUGAAGCCGGCCUGGCCGGCAGCAGCUCUCCUGCUGGUGCUUGGUACUGGUCUCAGCGCCUUGCAGCUGUUAUACCCGAGCAAGUAAAGGAAUGCAGCACACUCUGAGGUUUGAGUUACGAGUCCUUUAUUGCCGGCGACCAAGAGACGGCUAACGCCCAAACUUCUCUCGGCCCCAAAGAGUUAGGUGGUUUUAUAUGCCCUACUUUGAAAAAGGAGGGGGAACCUAACUGAAGCAAUUUUUCUCACAGAAGCAGAGCAAGCAAAAAGUUAAAAGAUAAACUAGAAACAGUACCAGGUGCAGGGGCUUAAGCUGUCACAAAAGACAUACAACCCCCGUGUAUGGACACGGGGGGCUCUGGGUACUUAACAUCUGCAUUCCCAGGGCUGCUGGUACCCCUUGACUCGGUAUCUUAUCAGCAAAUGCAUUCCUGGGUGUGCCUGGUGUCAUCCGGCCCCAGCUACACCCUACAGCUACAUAGCUAAUGGAGGGAAAAUAACUGUAAGUGAAGAAGCUAAGAUGGAGUUUGUCCAGCUUCUUCAAUUAAGGCUGAGUUGGUUAGACCUACACAAAGUACAUUAACACAUAGCCAAACCAACAGGACAAUUUGCUGAAGUCCAGGACCUCUUUAUUGCAGGGAUCCUGAUCUUCCAGUGUUUUUCAGUUGGGGACCAGAGGUUUAUUUGCUGUUUUUUUUUUUUUAAAAAAAACCCUCCUUUUUUCCUGGGAGUUUCCACUCGGUUCUAUCAAGGGAGGCAGCCUGUCCGCUUCUGCAUUGGUGGAGAGCAGUCUUCAGCUUGGGCACUAUCCCCAGGUCUCAAUUUUCCAGGGGCUUUAAAGGAAGAAAAUCCUGUAUUUAGAGCCUCGAGUCUGAAUUUCAACAAAGAUGGAGUCCUGCUCUGUUGCCAGACUGGAGUGCAAUGGCACAAUCUUGGCUCACUGCAACCUCUGCCUCUGGGGUUCAAGCGAUGCUCUUGCCUCAGUCUCCCAUGGAGCUGACACUACAGGUGCAUGCCACCAUGCCCAGGUAAUUUCUUGUAUUUUUAGUAGAGAUGGGAUAUCAUCAUAUUGGCCAGGAUGGCCUCGAUCUCUUGACCUUGUGAUCCACCUGCCCCAGCCUCCCAAAGUGCUGGGGUUACAGGUGUGUGCCAGCACACCUGGCCUAACAAUAACUUUUUGAACUACAUUCCUGAUUAUUAAGACACUAACUUUACCCAGCAGAAUUAUAUCCCUAGGUUCCAAAACCACCUGCAACACUGCAGACAAAGAAGGAGUAAGAGACAUGAUAGCCACAAGAAGAAAGAAGGAAAAUGCGAUAGGAAAACACUGGAAAUCGCUGGGCUGACAACUGACAGGCUGCUGGGGACUGGAGUUAGUCUGAGGACCUUCAGAUAACACCGAAGCAUAGUCCCAGCCAGAAAUCUUCAGUUGCCCUCGGACCUGCUUCCAAUCUCUGAUGGCUAGGCCUUCUAUGAAAGGAAACUAGAUUAGAAUAGACAAGAAGCCUUAGAAAAAAGUGUUAAUGAUUCGCUUUUACUCACCCUUCAGAUGAAUUCCCUCUUUCCCAGACAAUGCACCAAAAUAUGUUGUAGUCUUGGCAGUGCACCAAGAUAUAAGAGUCUGAGAUAACACCCAGAGUUCUUUGUCCUACCUCCAAGAAGAUUAAGGAGUGCAGGCACAAAGGUGAGGCUGGAGCAAAAGUUUAAUAAGUCAGAGAAGAAAACCCUCUGCCAGCAGAGAGGGCGUCCUAAACCAGAUGCCUACUUUAAGGCCCAUUCUGGGGUUUUUAUGAACUGGAAGGGGAAGAUAUGCUUAGUUUGCAGGUUGUCUUGGAGAACGUGUGACUUAGCUUGGCUCAGGACCAAUUAGAAAGCUUGGCCUGGGACUUUGGCCCAGGAUAAAUUAGGUGCUGAUUCAUAGAGGCUGCUUAGCUUGGCCCAGGACCUAUCAGGAGUUGAAGUGAAAGCUUGACCUGAGACUAAUCAGGGGCUGAAGUGAUGAUUCAGAGGCUGGACUCACAGCCCAAAAAAGGGAAAGAAGAAUGCCCCCUGUGCCCGUGCCCAAAAAAUGAGAAGAACCUUUUCCCUGGGAGCCCACUGACUAAACAAAUGACAAGGACACUUUUAUGCUGGGCCUUUUUCUUUUAUGAGUGAGCCAGAGGUCUGUGCAAGUUUUUAUCCAGAUGGGCCAGAGAUUUUUCUGUGUAGCUAUGGGCAUAUCUCCAGCCACAUCCUGUGCUAGUUACCUUAUUAGUGCCUGCAGCUUGAUUUUGUUUCCCCAGGCUGCUGCUUAUGUUACAUGGGAAUGAGGCACAAACCCAUGGGUUGGGGCUCUCCAGGUACCCUUCCCUUGUUAUACCUAUGGCAAGCUAACUAAUUCCUUUCAUAAUCUCCAAAGACUUUUCUGUACUCAUCACAGUGGCAGGGUUUCCCUUUAGGGUAAACCGGCCAGGGCCACUAUGGGCCAGGACACAGACACAGACACACAGACACACACACAAUUUUGGGAACCCAAUCUCAUUUAGCCAAAGAGAAAUGUCAAGCCGGGAACUGGAUCAUGCAGACCUGCCUCCCCUUUUGGUUCCUAAAUAAGAUGGCUAUGAGAUGAAAGGCCACACCCCUCCCCCAUUUUGCUGAAAAGAAAACUGCUGGUAAGCUAUUAAAACUUCACUAUGGCAAAGCGAAUUAACAGCUUAUCUUUACAGGUGCAGUUACCCAGGCCUGCCAGACAUAAAUGCUUAACUGAUUGCUCCCCUACCCCAUUUUGUCUGUGUUGUAUCUUAUGUAAAAUGCAGAUUCCCCAUAUUUUUCCUCUGCCCCCUUUUGUUCAUGUGAAAACUGUUUCUCAAUAUCCUGCCCUUUCCCUCUUAAAUCUGGAGCCCUCAAAGUCACCUCUGGAGAAAAGCACAGACCCAUCUCCUGGGCACGUCCGUAACGCUGGCAAAGCUCCUGACGUGAUUGAGAUUUGUUUUGUCACUCUCUUUGAUAGACAUCUGGUAACCAUGAAGGGACCCUGAGUGGAAGUGACCCAGUCUGCAGCACUCUGCCUCUCAGUGCUUGGCACUGGCUUGGGCACCUUAUAGCCUGAAAAACGGGACAAUUCGCUGAAGUCUGGGACCUCUUUCAUCCAGGGACCCCUGAGCUUCCAAUGUUUCUUGGUUGGGGAUCUGAGGUUUAUUUGCUGUAAAGAAAAACAAAACAAAAACCCUCUCUUUUUGUGGGAGUUUGUCUGCUUCUGCAUUGGCAGAGGGUGGUCUCCAGCUCGGGCCCCAUCACUAGAUAAGAAACUGGUUUUGAAUUCUGUCUUACAAGUUCUUUAAAUGACUAAAAUUAGCAUUAACAA